UACGGAGGGUGCGAGCGUUGUCCGGAAUCACUGGGCGUAAAGGGCGCGUAGGCGGCCUGAUAAGUAGGGGGUGAAAUCCUGCGGCUUAACCGCAGGGCUGCCUUCUAAACUGUCAGGCUGGAGCACAGUAGAGGCAGGUGGAAUUCCCGGUGUAGCGGUGGAAUGCGUAGAGAUCGGGAAGAACAUCAGUGGCGAAGGCGGCCUGCUGGGCUGUUGCUGACGCUGAGGCGCGACAGCGGUGGGGAGCAAACAGG
rnacentral:rRNA from 1 species